AUACCUUUCUCGGCCUUUUGGCUAAGAUCAAGUGUAGUAUCUGUUCUUAUCAGUUUAAUAUCUGAUAUGUGGGUCAUGUACCCACAAUGAUAUUAAAUUUAUUUUUUAUGGGGGAGAGCUUAUUAUGGUGGCUUGCUCCUAGAGCUCUCGCGUGUCGCCUAAGCGUUGCACUACUGCUUAAGGCCUGGCGCACCCCAA